rnacentral:rRNA from 1 species
GAAUCUUAGACAAUGGGCGAAAGCCUGAUCUAGCCAUGCCGCGUGUGUGAUGAAGACCUUAGGGUCGUAAAGCACUUUCGCUGGGGAAGAUAAUGACUGUACCCAGUAAAGAAACCCCGGCUAACUCCGUGCCAGCAGCCGCGGUAAUACGGAGGGGGUUAGCGUUGUUCGGAAUUACUGGGCGUAAAGCGCGCGUAGGCGGAUUAGAAAGUUGGGGGUGAAAUCCCGGGGCUCAACCUCGGAACUGCCUCCAAAACUACUAGUCUAGAGUUCGAGAGAGGUGAGUGGAAUUCCGAGUGUAGAGGUGAAAUUCGUAGAUAUUCGGAGGAACACCAGUGGCGAAGGCGGCUCACUGGCUCGAUACUGACGCUGAGGUGCGAAAGUGUGGGGAGCAAACAGG